UCUCUGUAUUUCUUUUUUCUACAACCUGCGCCGCCCCCUCAUCUGAUCUGUUGCGUUCUCAUCGGUUCUACCAAAAUUAAUCCAUCUUAUUGCCCCUCGCCACUCCACCAUCAUUGAUUUUAUUGAUUGGAUCAGAUACAAAUGUGCAAGAACUGUGACGGCGGCUCUCAAAUGGUUUGCAGCGGGUGGUGAUGCACAGCGGCAGUGCGGGUGCCGCUCCCAGGUGUGAAGCAUCGGCGCGGCUGUUCUGAAGUGACUGCGGUGGUAUUGGUAAUUGGUGCAGCACAGACAGUUACAGAAAUGGGAAUUUUUCUAAGUUAAUGCUCACUGAACCGGCAAGAACAGGACAAAUACAUGAUAUUUUGGAUGUUCGGAUGAUUGAAGAAUGAUGAACAAGAUUCCCCCUCACGACUAGUUUUUUAGGAGUGUUGUUACAGUUGUGUAUAUUUAUUUUAAGUAAGGAACUUUGUAGCUAGUGAAUCAUAUAUUGUAUACAAUUACUAAGUCGACCAUUUGCUUGUAUCUAUACAAUUGCUUAGUUUCAAUUAUUUAAU